ACACUAUUCUUAUUUAAUUUAAACAGGAACGCAACAUUUGUUGAAAUUUAACAUAUUUUGUUACAGCAGCUUUGGAAUAGCUUUUGUAAGCAUUGGCUUUUCUUCAUAUUCAUAUUAAAUUGAAAAGAAUUUUUAAAGACUAAAAAUAAGUAAAGUGGGGAACCGGUUGAUACAGUCGCUAUCAGCUUAGCACUCAAUUAACUUGAGACGAAAGCGCCACACAAGGACUGACUCCAGCGCUGAUCAACAAUUGUUGUCAAUUGGAAAUAGGAAACCUUUUAAUUAACUGAAGUACUGGAGCAGCUAUUGUAUCCCCGUUAUUGAUUCAGGUCUUUUUUCGAGAGCCGUGUGAACAAGUGUACGGAUUUUCACGUAAUUUCCGGAGUGCACGACCGAUUACAAUUACAACACCAAUCAAAAUACAACAAAGCAAAUCAAGUGACACACUAAAUUUUUAUGGAAAAUUAAGUUAGCGUAAGUUGGUAGCUGAAUGAGGGAUGAAAAUGCUUGAACAAGCUGCCUACGGGUUAGCUUGAAAUACAUAUAGCGAGAAAGUAACCACUGAAAGUCAAAGACAAUGUCAACUACACCCAAAGGUUAGCUAAAGUCUUCGCAGAAAUAUUUAAUACAAUACUCGAACAUCUCUGUAGUAAAAUAAGCUUAUAGCUGAAAGUGCAACAUAUUUUCGUAAUGUCGUUUCAUAUUCGUUUUGCUUUAUCCGCAGCCAUGAAGACGAAGAACAAUUAGGAUUCGUCACAGCAGCCGCCACUUUAGUUAUUACUCGGGUAAUUCUGGCAUACGCGUAAUUGCGUAUUCAGCCCAUUUUUCGAAUGCGAGUGGUAAUGCCAGAUUAAAGUGUUGCUUGCAACAUACGUAACUCAACGGUAUAUUAUUGAUUCAUUUUUAAAUUACGAGUAAUGCGUUGAAUCUCCGCUUUGCAAAUAAUAUGUAUAAUAAACACAAGUACUUGUACCCACAUUUGUUUUGGGUAGCAGCUAAAGAAGCACCCACAAUGAUGAUUCCACGCUUAUCUAUGUGCGGUUGGUGUGUGAAGAGUUCUGGGUCAGGGUCCUCGGCCCGAAAAAG